UACGUAGGAUCCAAGCGUUGUCCGGAUUUACUGGGCGUAAAGCGUGCGCAGGCGGUUUUGUAAGUCUGUCGUGAAAUCCCCGGGCUCAACCUGGGAAUUGCGAUGGAGACUGCAAGGCUAGAAUCUGGCAGAGGGGGGUAGAAUUCCACGUGUAGCAGUGAAAUGCGUAGAGAUGUGGAGGAACACCGAUGGCGAAGGCAGCCCCCUGGGUCAAGAUUGACGCUCAUGCACGAAAGCGUGGGGAGCAAACAGG
rnacentral:rRNA from 1 species